AUUCUAACCAACCAUUACAUCUUCCUCAUCUUUUGGAGUAUGGGUAAUUGAGGCUUGGGUGUGUGACUCUGAGAUGGGGAGAAACUUGGCAGGAUUAAGAAACCUCAAGGAGGCCAGUAUGACUAGAGCAGUAUCAGAGAGAAUAUGUGGUAGGAAACAAAACAAUCAUAUACAGAUUUGUAGAGGUGUUAAUUAUGGAUUUUAUUCUAAAUGUGAUGGAAGCCAUGAAUGGUUUGGAGCAAGAUGGUGAUAUGAUCUGAUUUGCUUUUAAAAGAUCAUUCUGGGCUGGGAGUGGUAGCUCACGCGUGUAAUCCCAGCACUUUGGGAGACCAAAGUGGGCAGAUCAUCUGAGGUCAGGAGUUCAAGACCAGCCUAGCCAACAUGGCGAAACCCUGUCUCUACUAAAAAAAUACAAAAAUUAGCCGGGUGUGGUGGGGUGGGGGGCCUGUAAUCUCAGCUACUAGGGAGGC
rnacentral:lncRNA from 1 species